UCGAACGCGAAAGUGGAGCAAUCCAUGAGUAGAGUGGCAAACGGGUGAGUAACGCGUGGGCGACCUACCUCGAAGUGGGGGAUAACCUUCCGAAAGGAGGGCUAAUACCGCAUGACAUCCCGUGUUUGGAUACACGGACAUCAAAGCCGGGGAUCGCAAGACCUGGCGCUUGGAGAGGGGCCCGCGUCCGAUUAGCUAGUUGGUGAGGUAACGGCUCACCAAGGCUCCGAUCGGUAUCCGGCCUGAGAGGGCGGACGGACACACUGGAACUGAGACACGGUCCAGACUCCUACGGGAGGCAGCAGUGGGGAAUUGUUCGCAAUGGGCGCAAGCCUGACGACGCAACGCCGCGUGGAGGAUGAAGACUUUCGGGUCGUAAACUCCUUUCGACCGAGAUGAAUGUCCCGCGACCUAAUACGUCGCGGGAGUGACAGUAUCGAGGGAAGAAGCCCCGGCUAACUCCGUGCCAGCAGCCGCGGUAAUACGGGGGGGGCGAGCGUU
rnacentral:rRNA from 1 species